CGAAUAAACCACUGGACGCGUAACGAGUGACGUUUUCGUCUUUACCCCGCUAGCACUUACCAAGGCUAAAUUAGCCAUGGUAAAUGUUGUCAGGUUGUCACUUUGUCAGUAUGACGCGAGCUCUCGAAGAGUAAAAAUAUCACGAAAAAUGGGUAAAUGCGCCGUACUUUAUUGCAAAAAUUAUUCCGGUCACACAAGAAAUGUUUCUUAUCACGCGUAAGUACAUUUUAAAUCUAUUAUAGUAGCUAUUUUUUCGUAAAAUAAAUAAAAUUUGAUAUGUAAACAAAAUAUGAUUACGUCAUUUUAAAAAGUACUCAUUGUACAUGUAAAUGCUUAAAACAUGUAGCAUAUUUAAUUUGGUUGGAUUAUAGGUUUCAUUCAUUCAUUCACAUCUCAUUUUUUAUGACGUAAAGGGCUUGAAAAAUGUCGAUAAGUUUAUCGAUAUACCAAACAAACUGAAACUGAAAUUAUUCAAAUUAAUUUUAGAUUUCCAGUGGAUCCAAAUAGAAGGAGAAAGUGGAUAGAGGCAGUCAGAAGACAAAAUACGUGGAUUCCAACUAAAAACCACUGCAUUUGUAGCAUUCAUUUUGCGGAAGAAUGCUACAAUGCCAAUUCUAUGAAACAGAAAACUGCACAAAGAUUCUAUACCUACAUUGAAUUUGCCUAAAUUUUCACAUGAAACAAAAGAUGAUGAGAUCGACAUAGAUGGAACAUACAAAACAAGCACACCAGUAAAUGUUUUAUUUUCGGUAUGCAAUACCGAGGUGGAACCUUUUAGAUCUGUGUCAUCCGUCACGUUUAGUGAAAUACCGGGGUGGUUGGAACUUGAUUUGGUCCAUCCUGUCAUCAACUGUUUUUCAAUGGGACGACUUCUGAACAUCAGAGAGAUCUUGACUGUCAAGAUACGUGAAUUAGGCCACUGAACUCUUCAAAACAAAACCAACACAGGUGAAAUAUCUGAGCAUCUCCCU